GCGAGCGGCGGAUGGGUGAGUAACACGUGGGGAACCUGCCCCUAAGUCUGGGAUACCAUUUGGAAACAGGUGCUAAUACCGGAUAAUAAAGCAGAUCGCAUGAUCAGCUUUUGAAAGGCGGCGUAAGCUGUCGCUAAGGGAUGGCCCCGCGGUGCAUUAGCUAGUUGGUAAGGUAACGGCUUACCAAGGCGACGAUGCAUAGCCGAGUUGAGAGACUGAUCGGCCACAUUGGGACUGAGACACGGCCCAAGCUCCUACGGGAGGCAGCAGUAGGGAAUCUUCCACAAUGGACGCAAGUCUGAUGGAGCAACGCCGCGUGAGUGAAGAAGGUUUUCGGAUCGUAAAGCUCUGUUGUUGGUGAAGAAGGAUAGAGGUAGUAACUGGCCUUUAUUUGACGGUAAUCAACCAGAAAGUCACGGCUAACUACGUGCCAGCAGCCGCGGUAAUACGUAGGUGGCAAGCGUUGUCCGGAUUUAUUGGGCGUAAAGCGAGCGCAGGCGGAAAAAUAAGUCUAAUGUGAAAGCCCUCGGCUUAACCGAGGAACUGCAUCGGAAACUGUUUUUCUUGAGUGCAGAAGAGGAGAGUGGAACUCCAUGUGUAGCGGUGGAAUGCGUAGAUAUAUGGAAGAACACCAGUGGCGAAGGCGGCUCUCUGGUCUGCAACUGACGCUGAGGCUCGAAAGCAUGGGUAGCGAACAGGAUUAGAUACCCUGGGUAGUCCAUGCCGUAAACGAUGAGUGCUAA
rnacentral:rRNA from 1 species